UACGUAGGGGGCAAGCGUUGUCCGGAUUUAUUGGGCGUAAAGAGCGUGUAGGCGGCUAGAUAGGUCCGUUGUGAAAACUCGAGGCUCAACCUCGAGACGUCGAUGGAAACCAUCUAGCUAGAGUCCGGAAGAGGAGAGUGGAAUUCCUGGUGUAGCGGUGAAAUGCGUAGAUAUCGUAAGGAAGACCAGUGGCGAAGGCGGGUCUCUGGACAGUUCCUGACGCUGAGGCACGAAGGCCAGGGGAGCAAACGGG
rnacentral:rRNA from 1 species